GGAGGGUGAGGGCUCCAGCAUGGCAGGCUGCAGGUCCCGAGCCCUGCCCCCUUGCCCCGCGGGGAGGUGGCUGAGGCCCAGCGAAAAUUCGAGCGCGGCGCCGGCGGGCCAUCACUGUUGGAGGACCCAGUGCACCCUCCGCAGCUGCUGGCCCGGGUGCUAAGCCUCUCACUGCCCAGGGCCGGCGGCGCCAGCCGACCGCUCAACAGUGCGGGGCGCGCCGAGCCCGCGCCCACCCGGAAGUCGCGCUGAGCCCGCGCCCACCCGGAAGUCGCGCUGGACCUGCGAGCACCGCAGGCAGCCCAGGUUCCGGCCCGCGCCUCUCCCUCCACACCUCCCCGCCAGCAGAGGGAGCCCGCUCAGGCCUCAGCCAGCACAGAGAGGGGCUCCCACGGUGCAGCUGCGGGCUGAAGGGCUCCUCAAGCGCGGCCAGAGUGGGCUGAGGCCGAGGAGGCGCCGAGAGCCAGCGAGGGAUGCCAGCAAGCUGUCACCUCUCAGAAAUACAGGAAGAACAUCAAUAAUGUUCGAAGUUAUAAAGUAUUGCGGAGGUCAGAGGUCAGAAAACAAGGUGUCUGCAGGACCAACCUCUCCUCUGGAUGCUCUAGGAAACGAGUAGAAUUAAGUGAAUUGAUUAUCAUAUCUAACCUAAUGAAUUGGGAGAUAGCCGUGGGCAUUAAAACUGUUUCAAGAAGUGCAACUUAGCGUUCAGGGCUGACCUCAUGAGCUUCCAGAGACAUCAGAGUGUUGAAAUUUCCAGGAUGCAAAACGAAGGGGCAAUUCAAAACAUUCAUCUCCACUUCUCAAAAAUAAAUGAUUAUGCAAAAGAAGCCCAGAACUGGCACAAUUUAGAAGGUUUGAGGUUGCUCUCAUGUGUUUGUAGGGUAUGCUAUCAUCAUCCCAUAGCCUAAGGCUGUAGUAUUGGACUCUCUGGAAGCAGCUCUGAAUGUGAUAGGAUGGAGAUAAUUGAAGAUACAAGCAGCCAUUAUGUGUCUGAAUAUUGGUUUACUAGAAGAGCUAGAUGUGUAGGAGCACAUCCUUACUUGACAAAUGUCUGACAGAAUGACCUGGCACCAUUACUGUUUUAAAUGUGUAAUAUGCUAUCUCAACUGGGACAUUUUAUGAAAGCUAUAGGUUGUGACCUACUGUUCAUUACACUUAGUUUCUGAGGUGCCAAAGACUGAUGUGUGAGCCAAAGUUCAUUAUUGUUCUUCACUGGAUCUUUGCAUUUAUUAGUCUGAUGUUAAUGGGAUUCGCUCUUGAGUUGGAUUGAUGUUCAAGGUUACAGCGACAGAUGAGCUCCUGAUCUUGACCAGAAAUGAUUUGCCCAUUGCCAAUUAGAAGAAGAAAAGGGCAAGGUGGAGGUUGAACUUGGAGUUAAUAGGAAUAAUAGAUGCUGAGGGUGCAAGAUGAAACUCAGUAAGAUAAUACACUCUAUUCUUAGACUGGCAAAUUUACAUAGUAAAGAGAACUUUUAUCAUUGUCAUCCAAAGAAAAUAUAAUCCUAAGAGAAAAAGUCCAGCUAGUUUUUUUUUUCUUUUUUGUUACCUGCUCAUAGGAUAUAAACUUAUUUCUAUCACACACAGGUAUCAUUUUCUACACUUAAAACACUUCUUCUAUUUCACACAAAUGACAAAAAAUGUCCUUCAAUUAUUUUGACACACGAUCUCUCAAGAUACAUAUCGUUUUAUAUCAACUAUAAAUACAAAUUUAAAAUUUUGAUAAAAGAGAAAUAACUGGAAUAAAACAAAGCAGUAUUUUUUAAAACUAUAGCUUUUCCCCUAAGAUAUUCUCACACUAAAGAAUUUUUCCCAAUUCUUCUCCCCCACUGAGAAGUACAGUCUUCAAAAAUUAGUCCAGGUAUUAGUGUUUACCAAGGAGGAAUAUUUUGAACAAGAAUAAUCUGAUGCUACUUUUCAUUUGUCAAGUACAUUUUCUAAAUUAUAUUCUAAUAAGAGAGAAUAUGCACAUUUGCAUGUCAUGAUUCUUAUAAAUAUUUACUGAGUACUGUCUCUCUGUAAAGAACUACAGUGGGAUGGAUUUAAGAUAUAUAAUACAUAAUUUUUCAUCUUCAAAUUGUUCACGUUUUGUAGAGAUAGUAACUUGUGCAUAAAUGACUAGAAUGUUAAGUUGCUAAGUGACAAGUGACAAAAAUGUUUAACCUGUAAAAUCUUCCCCUUGGGAAAUUGAGGAAUAAAAACUUCCAACUAAAGGAACAAAGAUUGUCAUGAGCAAAGUUGUAUAAAAAAUAAAUUAAAUGUAGGAUAAUAAAGGUAGUGUAUUAAAGUGAGAAGGGUUAGGGUUUCUUAGGUGACAGACUGGCUUGAUUUUGUGACUUGUGUGAUGGUAGCAAGUUAUGUAACACCUCUGAGUUUCCAUAUCUUCAUCUGUGAAGUAGACAUAGCUGAACCAACCACAUGGAAUUGUUGCGAGGGUGAAAUGCAAUGGUGUGUGCAAGUUUCUAGGCAGUGUUGGACUGGAUCUACUAUUACGCUAUACAAAUGAUACUUAGAAUUUUUACAGUUAUGCUUAAUAUUGUCAUAAUUCCAGGAAAUGAGAAAAAUCUCAGCAGAGGUACAAAACGGGCAAGCUCUGGGAAAAAUGAUCUUAGUGGGUUUAUUUCAAAGGAUGCUUGAAAGUGAUCUGUGGAAAACAAAAUUGACAAAAAGUGCAUGUUGAAAUGGAAAUUAACGGGUCUUUGAAUGUUAAGAGAAAGAUAGCGGGCAUGCUCUUUCAUCUGUCUAUCCCUGGCCCUUAGCAUGCCUGGUGCUUUUCAGUGCUCCAGCUUUACGUGUUUAAUCGUUUUUGUUUCAUUCGAAAUAAAUGUUCUCAUAGAUAUAGAAAACCAGCAGGCAAUAAAAUAUAUAUUCUGAGCUGUGAUUUAGUGGUAUUAUUACUUAGCAACAGUGUGUAGGAUGAAUUACAGAAAGCAAAAGUAGGGCAUAAUUAUAAUCACUAAGACUAAUUAUCAAUAUAAACUUUUGCCAGAACAAUUGUAAAUAUAUGGAGAGGUGAUGCACAUGAAAAACACAUUAAAAUACCCUAGGAUUUUGCCAAAAUAAGCUGUGUAAUAAAACAAAGGGAGAAGAAAUUGAAGAAUAUGAUGAAGUUUAAAUUGAGGUUCAAGGUGUUUUGCAUGAAGAAAGAUGAGAAAUUUAAAUUUGAGAUAUGAUGAGUUUAUGGUAGGAAAUUGAGAUACCAUAUUUUGCCAGUUGGACUAGACCUCACAAAAAGACUCAAAAUAAGUAUGCAGAACGCAUUAGUUUAGAUAUAUUUGAAGAGACCAUGGGAAAAAAAGGAAAAAGGGAGGAGUUUAAAGAGUCAAACAAAAAGAUGAUGGAAAGGCAGUGGGAGACAUAAAAGGGAACCAGAAAUCUUAAGAGGAGAAAGUGUUCUGAAGAAACACACAAAGUCAAUUACUUAAAAAGUUGAGAAUCACUGGCAGUGCUGGAUGAUCGUGACUUUUUUCUCUAUUUCAGUAAGCGGGCGAUGGACAUUAGAAUGCAAGAGAUGGAUGAGGUAUGGAAGUAGAAGGAAUAAAUGUCAACUAUUAUUUUAAAACAUUUGCACAGAAAGCAAAGUAGGAUAAGAGCUUAAAAAUAAAGGUUCUGUUUAUUUUCAUUUUGUAGUCGUAGGGAAAAUGUGGGCAUGUUAAAAGAAAAGCUGAGUGUAAAAAGGGAAUGAGAGGACAAAUUGAAAUAGACAUGGGUUCAAAUCCCAGAUCCCACUGGACAUCUCUGAGGCUUACUAGACAUCAUCUGUAAAUAUAAGAUAAACACCUAAUAUAAAAUGUGUUCAGCUAUAAGAAGUUUGAGUUAGUGUAUAUGAUUUUUAGAAAAUCAAUUUAUCAUAUACAAUAAAACAUAUAUUAAAUUAGACAGUUUGAUGCAUAUUGACAAUUGUAUAUCCCCUGCACAUUUCCAUCAUAUAUGAAAACUUCUCACAUGCCCUCACCAUCUCAAUCCCUGAUCACAGGCAACCACUGAUGGAGGUUCUGUCAUUAUGUACAGGAUAUAUCUUUUCUAAAUUUUGUAUAAGUGACAUCAUACAUGUGCAUUAUUUUGUUUCUGUCUUCUUUAUCUCAGCAUCUUGUUUUUUGAAAUUUGUUCUUAUUGAGUACAUCAGUGGUCAGCUCCUUAUUAUUGCUUAGUGUAUUUCAUUUUAAAAGUAUAAUUAUUACAUAUUGUGUGGAAAGAUUUAAACAUUCAGAAAAUAUAAAACUCAGUGCAACUAUUUUUUCCUACUCUUCAUGUAUUAUAAUUCAGUCUUUUUGAUAAUUUUAUAUAUAUAGAAGGUAUGAUAUUUAUAUUACAUUUAAAAUUUAGUACAACUUUUAUUAAAGUGUACAUAUUAUUUAUACAAUGCUUUUUUCUUUUCUAUAUCUAUACAGCUUACCCAUUUUUGAGAAGGCUGCAUUUUUUUCUAUAACAUGUAUAUGUUGUACUUUACUUGUCUAUAUCCCCAUUAAGAGAUAUGUUGCUUCCAGGUUUCAUUAUUA
rnacentral:lncRNA from 1 species